AGGAGAACAGAGAUGACAGAAGAGCAGUAUUCAGCUUGUUGAGUGAGGUUCAGGCCUCCUUUUCUUCAACUGAUGAGAAUUACUAUCUUUCCUUCUUCCAAGGCUCUGCCCAUCCAUCAGUCACCCUCAAAGUGUCCGCUGUGGAUCUGUGAUUGGCUCAUUAAAGAGGAAACCCAAACAGCAUUUUUAAAAGCAAUAAAAGGGGACAGAAGAGGAGCAGCAGAGACUGGAGGAUGGCUGGCAGAGCAGACAAACCAAGCAGGAUAUGCCACUGCUCAUGACUGCCC